rnacentral:rRNA from 1 species
ACUUGACAUCUCCUGCAUUACUCUUAAUCGAGGAAGUCCUUUCGGGGACAGGGAUGACAGGUGGUGCAUGGUUGUCGUCAGCUCGUGUCGUGAGAUGUUGGGUUAAGUCCCGCAACGAGCGCAACCCCUAUUGUUAGUUGCUACCAUUAAGUUGAGCACUCUAGCGAGACUGCCCGGGUUAACCGGGAGGAAGGUGGGGAUGACGUCAAAU